GUGUGUGCAAUGUAUAUCAAGAAUUUGCCUGUUCUUCAGCGACUUAAAAGGGAUGAAUUCUUUGAUCAAGCUGGAAAAUACAUCUUAGGUGCAACAAUUGCAGGAUGCAUUUUCUGGGGCUUAAUCUAUGGUCUGAUCAUUUGGUAUUUUAAGUGGAAACGCAGCAAAGAUGAGAGAAGAGGUUCAUUCAGAAGAGUCUCGUUCUGAGUACCAUUUCAUAAUUUUACUUCCCCCCCCCCCAUUGUGUGACGGUAAUCGAGGAAAUUGUGAUAACGUAUUGCCAGCAGAGAUUUCAGAAUAUUUUUCUGGUAC